rnacentral:rRNA from 1 species
UACGUAGGGUGCGAGCGUUAAUCGGAAUUACUGGGCGUAAAGCGUGCGCAGGCGGUUUUUUAAGCCCGAUGUGAAAUCCCCGGGCUCAACCUGGGAAUGGCAUUUGGGACUGCAAGGCUGGAGUGCGGCAGAGGAGACUGGAAUUCCUGGUGUAGCAGUGAAAUGCGUAGAUAUCAGGAGGAAUACCGAUGGCGAAGGCAGGUCUCUGGGCUGACACUGACGCUCAUGCACGAAAGCGUGGGGAGCAAACAGG